rnacentral:rRNA from 1 species
UACGGAGGGUGCAAGCGUUAUCCGGAUUCACUGGGUUUAAAGGGUGCGUAGGCGGACAGGUAAGUCAGUGGUGAAAUCUCCGAGCUUAACUCGGAACUGCCGUUGAUACUAUCUGUCUUGAAUAUCGUGGAGGUAAGCGGAAUAUGUCAUGUAGCGGUGAAAUGCUUAGAUAUGACAUAGAACACCAAUUGCGUAGGCAGCUUACUACACGAUCAUUGACGCUGAGGCACGAAAGCGUGGGGAGCAAACAGG